UACGUAGGGAGCGAGCGUUGUCCGGAUUUAUUGGGCGUAAAGCGCGCGUAGGCGGUUCGGUAAGUCGGAUGUGAAAACUCCAAGCUCAACUUGGAGCCUGCAUCCGAAACUGCUGUGACUAGAGUCAGGUAGGGGAACACGGAAUUCCAGGUGUAGCGGUGAAAUGCUUAGAUAUCUGGAGGAACACCAGUGGCGAAGGCGGUGUUCUGGGCCUGUACUGACGCUGAUGCGCGAAAGCGUGGGGAGCGAACAGG
rnacentral:rRNA from 1 species